rnacentral:rRNA from 1 species
CCUACGGGGGGCUGCAGUGGGGAAUAUUGCACAAUGGGCGCAAGCCUGAUGCAGCCAUGCCGCGUGUGUGAAGAAGGCCUUCGGGUUGUAAAGCACUUUCAGCGGGGAGGAAGGCGUUAAGGUUAAUAACCUUGGCGAUUGACGUUACCCGCAGAAGAAGCACCGGCUAACUCCGUGCCAGCAGCCGCGGUAAUACGGAGGGUGCAAGCGUUAAUCGGAAUUACUGGGCGUAAAGCGCACGCAGGCGGUCUGUCAAGUCGGAUGUGAAAUCCCCGGGCUCAACCUGGGAACUGCAUUCGAAACUGGCAGGCUAGAGUCUUGUAGAGGGGGGUAGAAUUCCAGGUGUAGCGGUGAAAUGCGUAGAGAUCUGGAGGAAUACCGGUGGCGAAGGCGGCCCCCCGGACAAAGACUGACGCUCAGGUGCGAAAGCGUGGGGAGCAAACAGGAUUAGAUACCCGAGUAGUC